GCCAUAAUCAAAAGCACAUUUUGUACUUUGACCGAAUCUGUCAAGCUUUUGCGGCGCAAUUAAAAGUGAUAUGGUUGACAUUGGCGGCAAGUGAUAAGUACCAAUAAAAGAAAAAGGGUUGUACAGUAGUUAUAUAUAAAACCUUUUUUUUUUUUUAAAUAUCAUCAAACAGUGUGUCAACAAACAAAAACAAGAAAGAAAAACAAUCGGCUUCAAGUAUUUUGGGAGAUAAUUAUAGCAGCUGACGCACACUCACUGACAUCAUUAAGUUAAUAGAAAAUAACAUUUUCAUCAGCCAGGUGAUGAAUGGUGGCCAAAAGUAUUGGGACACCAAUUACAAGUAGAAAUGGAAAGAAAAUACGGACAAUGGUCACGGGACACGUUCGGGGCGUGAAAAACAAAACAAUUUGGACAAAAGUGUUUGGACACCCACAGGAAAUGGAAACCGUGAAGAAAAUAUUUGGAAAUCGACCAUAAACUGGACAAACGCUUUGGGAAUGCCGACAGGCCGUUUGGAGAUGAACAGGAAGUGAAAAGAAAUUGCGGUGAAAGUUUUUGGGACAACUAAGUGGGAAAAAAAAGUGUAUUUCGGACAAAAGUAUUGGGACACCAGCAGGAAGUGAAAUAAGUGUGCAAAAAGUUUUGGUACACACAUCGGAGGUGAAUAGUGAUGAAUUUAUGAUAUAUUGAGAAACGUUUUGGGAGAGCGCCAGGACAUUUGACAAAAGUAUUGGGACACAAACAAGGCAUCCGAUAAGCGAUUGAGGAGUUUGGAUCAAAACAUUGGGACUACAGAAAAGGAAAAAUUGAAAGAAACGUGGACUUGGUGGACCAGAUUGAUUGAUUGAUUGAUUGAUUGAUUCACAGAUCGAGAAAAGCCGGGUCCCAAUUUUUACCGCCUUUUCUUUUAUUUCCUUUGCCCAGACCGACUGUCUGCCAUGCAAACGCUUUUGUCCCUUUUCUACCUUUUUGCUUGAGGAGCUUCAAGAAGGGAACGGAAAUAAAACGGCAGAAAAGGGAAAAAAAGUUCCGGAGAUGAAAUGUAGCGAUGCAUCUUGAAGUCAUUGAAACUUUCCUCAUUAAAACGCCCGGCGUCUGCUUGACAAACAGCUGCCGCGCCGUCGAUCAGGUUGGCUUCGCUCCACUGCAACGCGUCUUCAUUACGUCCACGAGCACCCGAGACGUCGCGCUCGUUGCCGUCAAAAGGAACUUCUUCCGAAAACAAGCGACGCCGAUGCGGGAACAGACGCCAGAGGCCUCCUUUGGAGACACUUCAAAGCUUCAAAAGCUCUCGGAGGACUUUUAGUGAGCUGUCGCAAGCUCGCAGUGGGUGGGAGAAACAUGAAAUAAAAAUGACAAAAAAAGACCCCCCCAAAAAA